AGAUAGAUGAGGGCUUUCUCUGCCAUUGCAGGCUGAGACUUCUCGGGGCUGCUGGAUGGAGGCGCGGGCUGGCAGGAGCGGGAGCCCAGAAGCCAAAGCGGUGGCCUUGAACUCCAGGCCAAGAUGCGCAUCUACCAGCGUCGUCUCCCCUCCUCCCUCUACUUCCUCCCAGGCACGCCAGCUGCGGGGCUUUCAAACCGCGCCCUCUUCCUGCUUGAGGAGCUCAAGGUGAGCCUUGGGCCUGAUGGCUGCACGGAAAACCUCUCUACAUGUCAGCAGAGCUCAAAGCCAAGAGAAAUCAUUUGACAGAACCUGGAGUCAUCUUUGGUUGUCAUGAUGGGAGGAUGCAGGAGGAUGGAAGGAGUUAUGUGAUCUGUACCUGGCGUGAAGAUAACAAGGAUAUUGAUACACAGCACAGCACAGCCCACUCACUGAACAUAUCCCUACCCUCCCCAAGCCAGCAGUAACAAGGUUGAAAAACCCUGAGGUGUAAGUUGUGAAUUAAAAACUGAGCAAGUUGUGACAAAGUACUGGGACAAUGGAAGGAUGAGGUGGUGCCAGAGUCUUUUGGGAAAUCAGGGAAACCUCACAUGGCCCAUCUCCAUACAAGAUUAAACUUCAAGAAAUUUCUGGGACACUUCUAUGUGCUUUGCAACCUUCUGUGACCAGCGAGAGGCCUGGGGGGAGUCAGUACUUUCCUACUGUAUUUAUACCUGGCAUAACUAGCAUGACAUUAACCUAGAGAUUAUUAGGAAUGAGAUAAUAAAUACUAAGCUAUAUAAUCAAAGGUGUGCGGCUGCUCCAAUUAAAAUCUACAGUUGCCUGUGAACCGGAUUCAGGGGCACAGGGUGGUGACUAGAUAAAUGUUCACUCAAUGAAGAAAAGAAUAAAUAGUUUUUAAUUGAAUGAA